CUUCUUUCAUUCAAUGUGAAAAGCUUUUCAGUUUCAACAAAAUACAAACGCUUCCCCUUUCACCUUACCUUCAUUCCUUUUCUCCUUCUCUCAGCCGUUUCUCUAGGUUUCUAAGUUCGUUUAAAACCUUCUCUCAGACACAGCUUUUCCAUGUCUACCUCUGAUUUCCAGCACCUCCUCGACACCCUCCCUCGCCCUUCCACCGCCGUCUGGAACACCCUCAUCAUCGGCUUCAUCU
rnacentral:lncRNA from 1 species